CCUACGGGAGGCAGCAGUGGGGAAUUUUGGACAAUGGGCGCAAGCCUGAUCCAGCAAUGCCGCGUGCAGGAUGAAGGCCUUCGGGUUGUAAACUGCUUUUGUACGGAACGAAACGGUCUGCCCUAAUACGGUGGGCUAAUGACGGUACCGUAAGAAUAAGCACCGGCUAACUACGUGCCAGCAGCCGCGGUAAUACGUAGGGUGCGAGCGUUAAUCGGAAUUACUGGGCGUAAAGCGUGCGCAGGCGGUUAUGUAAGACAGAUGUGAAAUCCCCGGGCUCAACCUGGGACCUGCAUUUGUGACUGCAUAGCUAGAGUACGGUAGAGGGGGGAUGGAAUUCCGCGUGUAGCAGUGAAAUGCGUAGAUAUGCGGAGGAACACCGAUGGCGAAGGCAAUCCCCUGGACCUGUACUGACGCUCAUGCACGAAAGCGUGGGGAGCAAACAGGAUUAGAUACCCUGGUAGUCCACGCCCUAAACGAUGUCAACUGGUUGUUGGGUCUUCACUGACUCAGUAACGAAGCUAACGCGUGAAGUUGACCGCCUGGGGAGUACGGCCGCAAGGUUGAAACUUAAAGGAAAUUGACGG
rnacentral:rRNA from 1 species